UGGCCUCACGCUGGUGGCGGUGUGCCCGGCUCCCCCGGCCUUGCAGGGCCUCCAGGGCCGCGCGCCGCUGCCGGCGCCCGCGCUCAGGCUCAUAGGCGGAAGGGAUUCGGCUUGUCUCAGAUACCCUAUUUUAGUCUUGUGAAGCGCUUAACAUCUGCCUGUCCAAAUGUAUACAGUAUAUCACGGUUUUAUCACACAACCCCGGACAGUAAAACACACAGUGGUGAGAAAUAUACAGAUCACCGAUCCUUUCAAAUUCGGUUGCAGAGACUUGAAAGGUCUGUAUGAGGACAUUAGAAAGGAACUGCUCAUAUCAACAACAGAACUUCAGGAAAUGUCUGAGUACUACUUUGAUGGAAAAGGAAAAGCCUUUCGACCAAUUAUUGGGGUGCUAAUGGCCCGAGCAUGUAAUAUCCAUCAUAACAACUCCCGAUCCGAUGUCCAAUUUUCACAAGCUGAUUGCUGAGAAGGUUCUAGGCGGCGUCUGUUAAAAAGCAUUGCUGUCUGUUAAUUUGACAUGUGCAAGCCAGCCACCGCGCCAUAGCCUUAAUUGCAGAAAUGAUCCACACUGCUAGUCUGGUUCACGAUGACGUUAUUGACGAUACAAGUUCUCGAAGAGGAAAACACACAGUUAAUAAGAUCUGGGGUGAAAAGAAGAUACGGUUUUUUGGUUUUUUA
rnacentral:lncRNA from 10 species